UGAAUACAUCUGCUGGUUCCAU
rnacentral:miRNA from 1 species